ACAACCGGGCCGUGCUUGGGCCGCUCCCUCGGCACGGUGGGCCGGCACGGCCCGGCACGAAAGAGGUCGGCACGGUGGGCCGGCACGGCCCGGCACGGUCCAACGGCAGGCACGGCCCGACCGAGGCCUGUUAUGCCGGGUGGGUAUAAAUACCCCAAACCGCAUCAAACCGACAAACCCUAACCCUAGCCACAUCAGUCUGGAGUCUCGACCGAUCCGCCGCUCGCCCGCUCCGCCUCCACCUCCAGGCUCCGACCCCUCAGCCCUCCACGCCUCCAUCCCUCUUCGUCGGCGUCUCCGAUGGAUGCCUCGCCGGAUCUAGCACCGAGGGUCAGCGGGCUCCCGCUGGGGGCUUGAGGGUCGUCUCUUCUCUAUCCUUUUCUUUCAUCUCUUUGGCUGAUCUGUGACCGUGAGCUCUUCGUCUCCGCCUCUCCGGUCACCGGAUCGACGGUCGCAUUGUCGAUUUCCUCUCCAUUCUGUACUUUUUUUUGCAACCCUCAUCGUUUCUCUUCGUCAGAUACUCAGAUCCACUCAUCCACCCCCCAAAUCUAGUCUCUCCUCUUGUCUUCUCGUAGAUCUGUGGAUCUCUAUCAUCAACGGCAACUCCGGUGCUCCGGAUGCGCAGUGACACUGUCAACCAAUACGAUGAUGACUUCAAUAUCCUUAACUGGUGGCAUGAGCACAACCACACCUAUCCUAUUCUUUCCAUAUUAGCUAGGGAUGUUUUGACUGUUCCUGUUUCUACUAUAUCAUCGGAAUCUGCUUUUAGCUUAACUGGCAGGAUCAUCGAGGAGCGACGACGGCGUCUAGCUCCUGACAUGGUGCAAGCUUUGGCACUAAUCAAAGAUUGGGAGCAAGCAGAUGCAAAGAUGCAACAUACCAUGGAGAAUUUAGAGCUUAUAAACUCUUUUGACAAUUUGUUUCUUGAUGAAGUAACCACUGCCAUUGGGACUGGAUGAUUGUAUUGGACUUGGACUUUAUUAUGAAUAUUUGAUUAAUGCUGUGGGCUGCACUCUUUUUUCCUUUCUAGGGUUUUCUCACGAGGUGUGAGUUUUUACCUAGAAAGGUUUUUAACGAGGCAGCCAUUGCACUACACAGCUACUUUAUUCAUUGAAAUACUCGUGUCAAGUUUUUGGGUGAAAGUUUAUGAUUUUGGGUAAUUUUUGACUUAGUGAAACUUUUGAAUCUUAGAACUGUGAUUUCUGUGAAUUGUCCAUGUCAUCUGUGAUCUAAGUCAAGUUUUUUGGGUGAAAGUUUGGGUGAAAAUUUGUGAUUUUGGGUAAUUUGACUUGGUGAAAUUUUUGAAUCUACAACUGUGAGUCUGUGAUUUUUGAAACUCUUCUGUGAAUUGUCCAUGUCAUCUGUGAUCUAAGUCAAGUUUUUUGGGUGAAAGUUUGGGUGAAAAUUUGUGAUUUUGGGUAAUUUGACUUGGUGAAAUUUUUGAAUCUACAACUGUGAGUCUGUGAUUUUUGAAACUCUUCUGUGAAUUGUCCAUGUGAUAUGUGAUCUUAGUCAAGUGAUCUAUGAAUUUUUGUCAAUGUGAUCUGUGAAUCUUUGAUCUGUGAUCUGUGAAUUUUUGUAAAGGUGAUAUGUGAAUCUAGAACUGUGAAUUCAACUAAGGCAUGUUCAAAUUUGAAUUUGUCAACUAAGUUGUGUAAGUUGUGUUAUUUGAAUUUGUUAACCAAGGCAUGUUCAAAUUUAUAUUUGUCAACUAAGUUGUGUAAUUUAAAUUUGUUAA